rnacentral:rRNA from 1 species
AGAGUUUGAUCCUGGCUCAGGAUGAACGCUGGCGGCGUGCCUAACACAUGCAAGUCGAACGCUCGCAAGAGAGUGGCGCACGGGUGAGUAACACGUAGCUAAUCUGCCCUCGAGACCGGGAUAACGAUAGGAAACUAUCGCUAAUACCGGAUAAGCUUACGCGCUGUAGAGGCGCAUAAGAAAAGAUUUAUCGCUUGAGGAGGGGGCUGCGAGCCAUCAGCUAGUUGGUGCGGUAAAGGCGCACCAAGGCGACGACGGCUAGGGGAUCUGAGAGGGUGACCCCCCACACUGGAACUGAGACACGGUCCAGACUCCUACGGGAGGCAGCAGUGAGGGAUCUUGCACAAUGGGCGCAAGCCUGAUGCAGCGACGCCGCGUGGGUGAAGACGGUUUUCGGACUGUAAAGCCCUUUUCUGUGUGACGAGGAAGGACGGUAGCACAGGAAGAAGUCUCGGCUAACUACGUGCCAGCAGCCGCGGUAAAACGUAGGAGGCGAGCGUUAUCCGGAGUUACUGGGCGUAAAGCGCGUGCAGGCGGAUUGCUAAGUUGGUUAUGAAAGCUCCUGGCUAAACUGGGAGAGGUUGACCAAGACUGGCAGUCUAGAGUGGAUGAGAGGUUGACGGAAUUCCGCGUGUAGUGGUGAAAUGCGUAGAGAUGCGGAGGAACACCGGUGGCGAAGGCGGUCAACUGGCAUCCAACUGACGCUCAGACGCGAAAGCAUGGGUAGCGAACGGGAUUAGAAAUCCGGUAGUCCCAUGCAAUAAACGAUGUACACUGAAUGUUCGUUGUCCUACGAGGCUAUGAGUGUCGCAGCAAACGCGAUAAGUGUGCCGCCUGGGGAGUACGGUCGCAAGGCUAAAACUCAAAGGAAUUGACGGGGGCCCGCACAAGCAGCGGAGCGUGUGGUUUAAUUCGAGGAUACGCGAAGAACCUUACCUAGGUUUGACAUUGAUGUGGUACGGAAGCGAAAGCUAAAGGACUCUUCGGAGAGCGUCAACAGGUGCUGCAUGGUUGUCGUCAGCUCGUGCCGUGAGGUGUUCGGUUAAGUCCGCAAACGAGCGCAACCCUUGUCGUUAGUUACAAGUGUCUAACGAGACUGCCCGUGGCAAACGGGAGGAAGGUAGGGAUGACGUCAAAUCAGCAUGGCCUUUAUAUCUAGGGCGACACACACGCUACAAUGGUACGUACAAUGGGUCGCGAAGCCGCGAGGCGGAGCCAAUCCUGAAAGCGCGUCUCAGUUCGGAUUGUAGGCUGCAACUCGCCUGCAUGAAGUCGGAGUUGCUAGUAACCGCGUAUCAGCACGGCGCGGUGAAUACGUUCCCGGGCCUUGUACACACCGCCCGUCACGUCAUGGAAGUUGAUUACGCCUGAAGUCGGGAAGCUAACCGCAAGGGGGCUACCGCCGAAGGCAGAGCUGGUGACUGGGACGAAGUCGUACAAGGUAGCAGUAGCGGAAGCUGCGGCUGGAUCACCUCCU